ACAACCCAAUUCAAUGAAAUCACACCCUUUAAAUAAUGUUUUGUUUAUUUCUGCUCCUGCUGACUACAGACAGUUGGUGACUGUUUUUCCUUGACUGAAACGGAAAGGCUGAAGCUGAUGAACUGAACAUUUCCCAGGCUGCAAUUCGGUUUUUGAUGUCUGCAGGCCAAAAACAUGCCUUUUCCUCUGAAAUCCAGACUGAGCCUAUAGUAGUCCAUUUUGACCUUUAGAUUCCUUAUCAGUCACCUUUGGUCUCUGACAGUGGUUGGACAGGCCAAUCAACAGAGGUCCACUCUCCAUGAACAAAGGCUGGUUAUGUAAAAGAGGUGAGCUGUGGGCAGAGAUACGAUCUGAAGAGAAGGUACUGAACUCAUCCUCUGUGUUCCAGCAGCAUGUCCAGGACUGCUGUCACUACAAAAAGUGAAACUUCACCCAAAAACAUUUUCUCUGCUGGUGAUUUAAACCCACACCUUCGUUAAGGAAGCAGCUGGAUUUCAGAGAGAGGCAGGCAACCACCAAUAUUGAAACCAGCAUGCAACUGUGCACUGAGUUCAACGUGGGACCGGCACCCAUGGACCCUGAGAUCAUGACCUGAGCUGAAGCCGGAUGCUUCAUUGACUGAAACACCCAGGCGCCCCAUCAAGGUAAGAUGCUUUAAAAGCUUUAGGAAAUACACCUUUCUCCUUUCUCCAUUACUCAAUACUCAUAGAGACUCUAAGAUGAAAACUUUUAUUCCAAGAAUUUAGCAGUUUGUUCCCUAAAAACGUUAACCUCCUCAACUCUGAGAAAUACAUCCACUGCUUCCUAUAGAUAGAAUCUGGAAAUUCUAACUUCAUCAGUUAGAACUGUUUACAAACUAAUGUGUUUGAUCAUCUUUUUAAAUUUCACUAUCCUUAGAGUAAAAUGGUACUACUGGAAAUCUCAAUGCUGUUUAACAUUUCCUAAACAGAAAACAACGAAAUGUUGCUCAAGGUCUGAAUUAAUUUGCUGCAGGAUUCUAGGUAAGCUGGAUUUCUCUGAAAUCCAGCUGCUUCCUGUAAGUUUAUCUUUGGGGUCUAAAAUUCUCUAAGUCAAAAAUGGUGAUUUUAGAAUUUAGAAUUCGCAAAUUCUACAUAUAUACUCAACAACAGCUCAGGAUAAUUAGUUUAUUUUGACCUCUAACCAACAAUAAUGUAUUGAUAAAUUCGCAAAUGCUACAUAUAUACUCAACAACAGCUCAGGAUAAUUAGUUUAUUUUGACCUCUAACCAACAAUAAUGUAUUGAUAAUACAUUAUUAUUUCAUCUUCCUACCUGUUCUACUCAAAUAGUUCACAAAUUAAAGCAUUUUCCAUUAGUGUUUAGGUAUGAAAUAGCUUCCUGAUAGAAAAAGGCAAAUGAGGAUCAGUUUUUCUAGGUCUCUAAGUAGUUCAGAUGAAUUAAUGAAUAAAAUUCUAUUUAUCUCAAUUUCACUUAUCAUUUCAGGAGUGCUAUGAAAAUGAAUUACCAAAACUGCUGGUGGCAGUGAGACUGGUAUAUUUCUGGAGCUCCACCAUGAAUCAACACAAAGAAAAAACCUGAAACUCAAAUGAGCUUAAUUUGAUUUGGUAGGAGAGCAAACCAUCAAUUAAAAUAAUAAAUUAUGUGUAACAUUAUAAAUCA